UACGUAGAGAGCAAGCGUUGUCCGGAAUCAUUGGGCGUAAAGGGUACGCAGGCGGUCUAUUAAGUCAGAGGUGAAAUCCAACAGCUCAACUGUUGAACUGCCUUUGAUACUGGUAGACUU
rnacentral:rRNA from 1 species